CCCUUAGAUGUCCUGGGCCGCACGCGCGUUACACUGAUGCAUUCAACGAGCUUAUAACCUUGGCCGAGAGGCCUGGGCAAUCUUGUUAACGUGCAUCGUGAUAGGGAUAGAUUAUUGAAAUUAUUAAUCUUGAACGAGGAAUUCCUAGUAAACGCAGAUCAUCAAUCUGCAUUGAUUACGUCCCUGCCCUUUGUACACACCGCCCGUCGCUACUACCGAUUGAAUGGUUUAGCGAGAUCUUCGGAUUGGCGCCACUGCGGCUCAGCAAUGGGCUCGGUGGAUGCCGAAAAGUUGAUCAAACUUGAUCAUUUAGAGGAAGUAAAAGUCGUAACA
rnacentral:rRNA from 1 species